AAUUUGAAAUCUGGCUCCUUCGGGGCCCGAGUUGUAAUUUGUAGAGAGUGCUUCGGGGGAGACUGCGGUCUAAGUCCAUUGGAACAUGGCGUCCUAGAGGGUGAGAAUCCCGUAUGUGACCGUGGCUCGAACCCAUGUGAAGCCUCUUCGACGAGUCGAGUUGUUUGGGAAUGCAGCUCAAAAUGGGUGGUAAAUUUCAUCUAAAGCUAAAUACUGGCUGGAGACCGAUAGCGCACAAGUAGAGUGAUCGAAAGAUGAAAAGCACUUUGGAAAGAGAGUUAAAAAGUACGUGAAAUUGUUGAAAGGGAAGCGCUGGCAACCAGACCUGCCCGUAGGUGAUCAGCCGCUGUUCUCAGCGGUGCACUCGCUCUGCGAUCAGGCCAGCAUCGGUUCCGGCGGUCGGAUAAAGGCCUUGGGAAUGUAGCUUCCCUUCGGGGGAGUCUUAUAGCCCUCGGUGCAAUGCGGCCAGCCGGGACCGAGGACCGCGCUUCGGCUAGGAUGCUGGCGUAAUGGUUGUC
rnacentral:rRNA from 1 species